rnacentral:ncRNA from 2 species
UCACGAACUGGCGAUGGACCCCGCCAGGGACGGCGCGAUGCCGCCCCGAACCGCCCCUCCGGGCUGAUGGCUCCUGACCGAGU